AGAGGACCCGGCCCGUGGAGCUGCACACCCCUGCCCGGGAUGGAGGUGAUGGUUCUCGCAGGAGUUUUGGGUGUCCCGUAGUUAAAUGCUGCUGAGACCACGCGGCUGCAAGGCCAUGCUCUGUUAAAACGAUUGCCGCAGACAGACUGCUGCUCCUGCUCUGGGCGAAUCUCAAAUGUAGCAUCAAUUGCUGAUUAUUUAUUUAUUUGUUUAUUUAGUGGGGGGUUUUUUGGUGUGUUUUUUUGUUUUGUUUUGUUUUGUUUUGUUUUGUUGUUGUUGUUGUUGUUUUUUUGUUUUUUUUUUUCUAUAGAGUAUCAGUUCUCCGGAGAAAUGGUCAGGAUCCUGCCAGCAGGGAUAUUUUUUCUCUCUGUGAGUUACCCUGUUGCUCUUCCCUUCUCUUCCCUCUGACUUGGGCAUCCAGCCAGGGUCACUCCACCACUCCUGGAAAUGUGACAGUGUAUGUGAGCCAGACUGAAUAAUGCACUUUGGGGAAAUGUUUUUAGAAGUAACUAAAAUGAUUGUAAAGGUUCUUAUUCUGAAGCUGCCACUUUUUUUCUUAGGCAUUUCUAACUUAAAAAGGCAGAAUGAGACAGCAGGUGUCACUGUAAUAGCAGCAAAAGCAGGAAGAGUAAAUCUGUAUCUCUCUUACCGCAUGUUAUUUUGUCUUUAUACAAUAUUCAUCAGAGAAGACGAUCAAAGGCAGCUUGGUCCUUGCCCUGGUCUCCUGACUGUAGAUUUAUCAAAAACGAGCUCAGCUUUUGUCAGUAUUAAGAAGCAUGAACAGGGUUUGGGAGACUUUAACACUGAGAGAUAAAGGACACAAUUAUCUUCCUUGUGGACUAGCAAAGGGACAGGAAGAGGGUAAUGAGCGCCAUAGACUGCAGCUGAGAAGAGAACCUAUCCAUGACGGGAAUUUUGCAGUGGAUUAUAAUACUUACUGAAGCACAGAUUAACCAGUAAACAUAGAAAACAACAGAGGAAACUUCAGAUUUCACGUAUCUUUAAAUUAAGGAGAAGAUUAAGUUAAAGUAUAGGUCUGACCAUCCUUGAGUUUCAAAACACUCUCACUAAUGUUGAGCUGAGGAAAACCUUCAGGAAUAUGCCUCUUUUUCUGAAGUUCAGGUAGUGGCAUAGCAUGUAAACUGUCAAAACAGCCAAGGAACUUUGAUGGACCAGCAUUGCAUGAAGCUAUGGAAAUUUCCAGGCUGAAACUCUGCAAGUAGUGACCCAAGUCACACCAAACACUCAGCUGCAGAGUGAGAACCAGUGAAGGGAAGCAACAAAUAUCUGCCUAGACUCCCAGCACUGUGAGAAUGUGAAGAGGAACACAGAUAUGCAUGUAUUUUCACCAUACUUUAUUGAAGAGAAGUAUUUUGUUUUUCCCUGAUUGCCCCAUAAUCACUCAUCAUGCAAUUCUAACAGGUAAUGUUUCUGCAGAUACAUGUUUUGGCAUCUUACUUAAUAUCCUCUCUUACGCAGGAAUUUGCUGAAACUAUGUUUUAAGACAGCUCUGCCCAUGAGAAAAUACUUGAAAAGAAAUUUGAGUACAAUGAAAACUAAGGGCUUUCCCUUGCUGUGGAAGGGAUUAAGUAUAGGGAGUUGUGUGAGUGUGAGAGAACCAAAUGUUUGCCAGUAACUAUACAAGGUUGCUUCAGUAUCACUGUUUGUGUAAGCAUGGUAUAUCCUGUGGCAGCAUAACAAUCAAGCCAAGGGUGCUUGUUGUUGUACAGAAAAAUCUUUAUUUCUGAGUGACCAAUUGAUAAGGACAUCUUCAGAAUACAAUCUGUCUCCUCCUUGGCCCAGUGUCCUUACAUCCUAGAGUAUAUCCAAAGAAAUGUAACUUUUCCUCUCCCUUAACACAUACAUGGUAUUUAUCAUAGUCUCCAUGGAUGGUAAUGCAUUAUCUUGGUUUGCCAUGGUUUAUUUUUGCUUCCCCACUUUUUUCCUGCUAGAAAUUCUGUGUAAGAUCAUUGUGCAACCUACCAAAUCCUUUAAAGCAACAGAAACCUACAGACUUUAAGACCAAUUCAUCAGUACAUGGUGAGGUUAAAGAGAACGUAGCCUUCCAGAAGAUUGCACUAACUUCACAGUUCGGUAAACCUAUCUGUGAUGGUAAUAAGAGAGAAAUGUAUGCAUAGAUCUGUGGAAGAGGCAGGAGACAGUCAUAGUGAAUGCUUGAAUAUGGAUACUUAUGUGAAACUCUAUAGUAUAAAAUAGUUUGUGCAAAUUACUAUGUGUAACAUACUUAUUCUCAAUAUACCUGUAAACAUGAAUCCCUUUUGCUUCAUCAAAAAAUCAUUGAUUGAAGCUCUGCAAAAAUCUGUAGAAAUCUGCAAAAAAUCUGCAAAAGUCUGCAAAAAUGGAAAAGAACCGCUGGGGACCUAAUAGUUCUGAGGUUUGUGCAAAAGUCUUCACUUUGAUCUGCAUCAAAGCUGCUGCUUCAAAGUUAUUUCUAAGGGACAGAGACUGAAAUUGGAAAAGGAAUAGAAAGUAGUGCAUGAGCCUAAUGUAUUAUAGAGUCUCUGGUUUUUCUGACUGCUUGGUUUUUGUGCUGCAAUGAAUGCAAGAUGACAAACAGGGAGUAAAUCAGCUGUAAUUAAGUAGCAAUGGUAGCAAUGCAUUUGAUUUGGCUGUUUAUAUUGUUUAUCUUUUAGACAGUUUGCUAUAGAAUCUACCCAGAGAAAAACUAGGAAUAUUCUCUUUGAGUAGAAAAGAAAGAGAAAUGGAGGAGAAAGGGGAAUAGUCAAGGAGGAAAUAUUAAUCAAAGCAGGAAUCUAUAAUAAACAUCAAUGUUAGAAUGUUUUUAAUGUGAUAUGACAUCUGGUGUUUAUUUAAUUAAUGAACUCCUAUGAAGACACAGUUCUUACCAAAAAGACUUCAUAAUAUUAACAUAAUUUUAUUCAGUGGGCUUAGUUGCUAUGAUUUAACUAUUCUGUCUUCAGUUACAGGGUACUUAUGUGUAUGUAAACAAGAUUCUGCUUUAUUCAGGUUUGAUCUAAGUACAAGUACUUCUGAGGUUUCCUAAAUAAUUUGCAGACCUGUUGCCUAAAAAAAGAAGUACAAGGGAAGUGAUAUUAAGCUGCUUCUCUACCUGCCUGACUUGCUUUCCAACACUGCCUGACAAACUUGGGUGAUUACUACAGCUGAGAUGAAGGCCAUCUGGAUUGUAUUUCUGCCUUCUUAUAAAACACUUAAAAAAAAUAAAAAAAUAGAAGGUCUGCUGAAGUGUUCAGGCAGGAAACAUUAUCCCAUUUCCUAUGCAAAUAUCUCAGUUAAGUUUAGAGAAGUUCUGUGUCAAAGUUUGCAAUAAAAAUUACAAUAUGAACAGAGUAAAAAUUUGAAAAUUUUUUCUACUACCAAAAGAAAUUUUGUAGAAACUGAUUUAAAGAAUCAGCAGUAUUUUGAAAUUAUGUUGUCCAAUCAUAUUUCUAAAAUUGGAAGUGCAGAAGACUAUAAACAGAAAAUUUCUGUCUUAAAGACAGUAAUAAGUCUACAGACUAAUUCUGUGAGAUGUAUUCUAUUAUUUUUUGAAGAAAUUCAGGCAGGUCAAUAUCUUUGGUCAUGUUUUGUGCAUGCAAAAAAUGAUACAACCUCACUAGUGAAGAAAAACAAGAGACAUCCAGUUCACCUUUUGAAUCCAGGACUAUUAACUUUGUGGAAAAUAUGUGGAAAUUAAUAAAGGUAAGGAAUAAAAAUACAGGAAUUACUGUUUCCUUAUAUUUUACAAACUUUAUUCUUCCAGAAAACCAAAGCUUUAAAUUCAGAAAAUGCUUAUAUUGAUUCUCUAUUAUUAAUGUUUUCAUGCCCAGCAUAAGUGGAAGAAAAUAAUUACAAGCUUUGUUGCCAAGAAUGAACUUCUGCAGAAUCUAGGAACAAAAAUGGACCCUAACUUUGUAUCUAUCUGGAUACAUAUUUAAAUAUAGUAGCUAGUGAGACAAAGGUAACUGAAGAGAGGAAUAGAUUAGCACAGAGUCAUCAUUAGUCAAGGAACCAUCAUAAAAGCCUGUCCUGGGAUGAUGUUAUGAUGCUUGUAUCCCCAACUGUGUGUUCUAUUUAUGCUUUAUAUUAAAUUCUGCACCUUUAAGACUGGCUCUGAGAGUGAAGGGGGGGAAAGAAGAAGCGCACAGUUUGUGUCCAGAAAUGGCACUCACUCCCCUGCAUCCUGCUCCUGGACUGUGCUGUCUGCAGCACGGACAGACAGUGGGACUGAGCUCUCCUUUGCUGUUAGUUAGUUUUCAGCAAGCUGAGACAGGGAAGUUCCCCAGAAUGUUUUUUCUUUUUUUUCUUGGAUCUGUUCAUUCUCUGGACUGAAAACCCAGACAAACCCCGAGA